UACAAAUGUAACUGGUAUAACAUUAUAAAUAUGUAUAUAAAUAUAGUACACAGACAUGACAACAGUUAAAUAAAUAGAUAUCACAGUGUUACAACCAUACAUGUACAACAUAUUAUUAAAGUGUACUAUUGUGAGAAAACUUGAUGAGCACAUGUGGUUAAACCCAUAUUAUCACAGACAAAUGAAAGAUCUACUUAAAGAGGCUCGCGGGUAUAAGAUUUUCAAAAAAAAAUCAAACAUUUAUUUUUCAUUACAAAUUUUAUUUAUUACCUUAAGUAGUUGUUACUUUAUCAUAUGGUACAAAAACUAUUCCAAAAAGGUCAAUUCGUGUUGGCCCCAGGUGACUUUUAAAUUGUAGAUAUCAUUGAAACAGCUCCAAAUUAUCUCCCUUUGGUCCAGAAAUGACAUUUUUUGGCAUUAGAAUUAAAAUAUCUUUUUUAACUCAUUGGUGACCUUUAUUUUUUAUUGUUGUUUUUGAAUAAGCUGUAAAUAAACUAAAUAAUUGUAAAAUUUAAGCGAUUUCUGUAAUUUAGUUCUUUUUUUAUUCAUUGUUAUUUCAAUAUUACCGCUAUUUCUCUUCUUUCGAAGGUAGGUUGUGAGCAUAAAUGAUCGGUGACCCCAUGUUUUUAUUUCAUUUUUCUAUUAAGUUUAAGAUAAAGUUAAUUUAUAGAAAAAUAUAACGAAAUCCUAUAUUAAAUUAAAAAAAAAAUGAUUUAGACCUGCAAGCCCCCUUAAAUGUAGAUAAAUUCAAUUCAUUAUUUAAAACACACAUUU
rnacentral:lncRNA from 1 species